CAGCAGCCGCGGGAAUACAGAGGGUGCGAGCGUUGUUCGGAAUUACUGGGCGUAAAGCGCACGUAGGCGGCUUGGUAAGUUAGAGGUGAAAGCCUGGAGCUCAACUCCAGAAUUGCCUUUAAGACUGCCGAGCUAGCAGGUGAGAGAGGUAAGUGGAAUUCCGAGUGUAGAGGUGAAAUUCGUAGAUAUUCGGAAGAACACCAGUGGCGAAGGCGGCUUACUGGCUCAUACUGGACGCUGAGGUGCGAAAGCGUGGGGAGCAAACAGGAUUAGAUACCCCCGUAGUCCCUGUCUCUUAUAC
rnacentral:rRNA from 1 species